GAUCGAUCGGAGUGUACACACGACCAGAUCUUCUUUGGUCAGUGCAGCGACCGCGAAAAGGUCAGAUCUGAGAUCCGAGCAGCUGAGUGUCUCGAAUAGAGGAGUCGAAAAGAACCCAUUAGGUGUAGGGGCUGAGGUGGAUCAUGGGUCCAUCGUGCUGGAGGGGCGUAGAGGGGCGUAGCGAGCGUCGGGACCCUGUACGACGGUGACGGCGGACGCGGGCGACGGCCGUGAGGCGGCUUAGAGGUAGUGGUGGCCAGUACGGCACCCGAGGUGUGGUCGAGGGAGCUGUGAGACGGCCUAGAGCACGUGGUGGUGACCUCGUAGGUACCACGUCCGUCAACCCGUCGGUACGAGUACGGUGGCCGGCAGAGCGGCUCGGCAGAGAAGGCCCUCCAGUACGUAGCCUUCUUUCCGGCAGAGGGGGUUCUUCUUCAUGGGUGACUGAGGGGAGCAGUGGCGAUAGGCGGCGGCUGGCCUGGAUCUACCUGCGGAGGAGCUCCGUUUCGAACGCGCCCCGACGCCGUUAGACCGGAAGAGCCACAGUUGUGUCAGACGUAGGUAGGUCAUGAGAUAGGUGGUUCACGCGUAACCACUAACACUAAUGCUGGAGGUGAAGGGAGGUAACGCGGACUGCGUACGGUACCGCGAGCGCGGGAGUUCGAGGUCGUGGUCGGGGCGGAAGGGCGAAGCGUGGCGUCGGGUGCAUGGAGACGAAGCCGGCGCAGCCGUUGGGGAGGCCGGGAGCGGUUUGGCCGCUGGUGGUUCUUGGGACGGUGGAGGAGCGGAGGAGAACCACGAACGGUGGUGGUAUGAAGGAGGACUGCGGAAGCCGUUCGCCGUUUUCGGAAGGAACCGAAGACGCCGCACAUGCGGCCGCGGUUCGCCACCGCGCACGGGUAGCCACCUCCAACACUCACCUAUUCUCGAUCAUAUUUUAUUCCUAAUUCCUGACGCCCGACUUAAGGUUGAUUACGUCCCAAAACAAACAUUUUUACUUUGCAAAAAGGUAUCACAGUGAAUGUAUCCCUAACGCCCAACUAAAGUUUCUUUGUUUCCCCGAAAAAGCUUUUUGUAGUUGCUGCCUGCUGGUCUUUGGGUUAAAAGAAAUAAUAAUCCAUUUAUACACUCAGGUACCUUAUAUGCGUGAGAAUUGAAAGGCGUUAAACGAUCGGAGAUGUCAUGGUACGUAACGGGAAAGAGUGUAGUUCUGCACCACGUUUGAAGCGUCCACGUAGGUUUGGGGCACUAUACUAUGCGAGAUAGUGUGUAUUCGGAAUAAUAUAGAAGGAGUUUUGUUGGUGGUAUGGAUCGAUAAUACCGAAAAGGUACCGGUAAGGCUCUAUAUAACGGUACGUUGAAGGUGGCGAAGACAAACUACUGAACUCGUAAGUAACAGUAUAACGAAACGUACUAGUAUAUCGACUGUAUCAUCAACACCGAGUCGGUGGCAAGUAGUGAAAAGUAUAUACAAUGCGAUCUAGUAACGUGUAGGACCAUGUAACGGUCUUCGUAAGUAUAUCUCAGUAUGAAACAGUAUUCAUAGCUCAACAGUAAAAAUAAAGAAAACUCAAUAUUCAUUUAUCUUUACACUACUAGUAGUAAUAAGUAAAAUCUCAUCACGGUGUCACUCCUUUCCUAUUACCUCUGAUACUAAGGGGGUGUUUAGCCCUACUCUGAGGCCUGUUACUCUCUUUUUUUCCUUUUCUUUUUCUUUCUUUUCUUAUCUUUCUUUUUCUUUAUUUUUUCUUUUUAUUUUUUAUUUGUUUCUCUGUUCCCCGUAACAAAUGAUACCUUUCAGAUGAUACAACAGUGAAAGUAUAUGAUCACCCUUAAAAAGUAAUAUCCUUAUCUACGUGGGGGUGAGUCAAAAGUAUAAAUCGAAAGUAUGUGAAUAUCGAGAAUCACGUAAGCAACGUACCGUUAGGGAUGAGCAGCGUAACUAUAGCUAACUACCCGUAGAGUUAUCGGGCGACCAAUCAGCACAACUACACUCUGAAAGAAUGAAAAACAGAAGAGAUAUAAAUGUGGAUAGUAGUAUGAGAUAAGGUGGGUAUCACGAUAUAGGUACCGAACGCGAGUACAUAACGCACUCCCAACUUUUUCAACUUCGCGCAAUUUUUCAUACUUGGUUAACGAGCCGAACACUAGCUCCAACACGUUCUAUUUAUGAAACACAAUACUUCUGUCUCGUACUGUUCUGAUAUACUAAAACAUCCCUAUCGAAAGAAAUCGUAACUAUAAAACUUUCUGUACUAACAAAAAACCCUACGGACUCAUAACUACAGAAAUACAUUUUAAUAUCUGAUAACCAAACUUAGUGAAUACAGAAUUAUAAAUACGGUACUAAUCUAUAUACUAGUUCAAAUACGAUCCAUCUUAAGGUGUAGUUUUUAAUAGAAAAAAUAGUAAAUGGAUGAGCUCCUGCUCGUUCUUAAUUCGAACUCCUACGACUAUGCAGAGGCAGCAUAGUUAUUAAAAACUAACAAAGUACGGUUAUAAUAUGUUGAAAAUGUAUGAAAACCGUUGAAAAAUAUACUAAAUAACCUGAUUGGAUAACUAGGUCACGGGUCACGAUCAAGGACAAAAGACGUACAAAAAACAUAGUACCACAUAGGUAUAGUUUGGUUCAGGUUUACGUUAUUUUAAAAUGCCUCUUAAUAAACCCUUACAUACACUAAAAACCAUCAACCUUAGUGACGUUUGCUUCCGAGUGUGUGUGGUGUUCUGUGGUCCCACGCUGGGGACUCGAUCCGCACACCACCACCCAACACGAGUGUAGCAUACAGCCAACCCCGAGAUGAAGCCCGCCUUCCUUUGAAUAUAGACCUUUUUUUGAGUACAAUUUUAGAGUCGCGUUAGCCUCAAUGCCUAGAGGUCCUUAUAUUCUUUACGAAAAGCCGGUCUAGACCUCUUGCGCUUUUUCUUCUCUUGUCUCUCCCUCUAGGUUAGAGCCUCCCCCAGGAUGGGGAGGCGAUGGUACCUCCGGUACCUGAUCUCCCCCAUUGAGAGGAUGGUAAAUGUCCCUCCGGUUCCUUCUUUUUCUUCCUCCCCCGAGAGGGGGAACGAAGGCCACCGCGGCCUCACGGCGACCCCGUUGUUAGUCCUGCUGCUAGAUGUAGUUGUUAGAACGAUGGCAGUUGUGGUUGAAAGAGGGGGAAAUACAUCACCACAUUAUGGAGAAGAGGGGCGACAUUAGAGAUGAAUUUGUACCACGAGUUGAGGUAUAUAACAAAGGGUUACUAGAUACCAAUAGGAUACUACAAACUCAUCUAGACAAAAAAG
rnacentral:rRNA from 1 species